UUAGUGACCAGUGGAAAGAAGGAGUAGAGCGGGGUGGGAGUCCAUGAAGAGAGUAGGAGCAGGCAGGGAGGCGAUUAUAUACAGACAACUCUUUGCCCACACGGCAGACACGCUUUUUUUCAUUUGAAGAGAUUUUCCACCCAGUCUGUUACCAUGAUACACCCUUUGAUCCUUGGCAUUAUGUCAGUGAACACCUCUCUGACCGUCGUCUACUGGGCCUUCCUCCUGGGCGAUGCCUACUUCAAAUGGCUGGUGGAGCCGGAAGACAAACCUAAGAAGAUAGUGACGCCGGCCUGAGGGAGCCAGCAUGGCUCUACCUGACUGAGUGAAUGGGCGUUAUUUUCUUUAGGACUAGGAUAGAGCAGUUCGGCUUGCAGUGCUUUCUGUGGAAUUGAAUUCAUAAUAAUAUGCUUUUUUAUGUUUUGUACCUGGAGAAGAUUUGGAAACUGGCUUUAAAUUUGAACUAGCUCUUUGAACUAACUCAAAGAACCCCGAGCACGAGUGAGGAAGGAAUCUUCUUGCAGAGCUGUCACUAUACAAUACACACCAGUUUGGGAGUCCUUUCACUUCAAACGCAAGGAAAAGAGCUGACCAGCAGCUGCUGUUCCUGACAACAUAGAAGACUGGAUAUUUGGCCCCAAACCAGAGGAGGAAGAUCCAGAGGGAGGGACAGCAGAAACAGAAGAGACGAGGAGGUUCAGUGUUUCCAGUAAGCUGUUGGAAGCAGAAGACGGGAUGAGAGUGGAAAAAAGAAAAGACAUGCUGCUGCCUGGUUUCCACCAGGAAGAGGGUGGCCCUCCACCACUGAAAAGUGUCAUUGCUGCUUCAUACUCUGCAGGAAAAAGAAUAUCCUGUCAUAGCGUGACCUUCGCCUGCCCUGUUGCCCCUCUUGUCACGUCCCUUUGAGUUUUCAUCUCUUUCUCACAACAAUAGCUCCGAUCAGUUCCUGUCACAUGCUGUAUGUCUUUCAGUCCACUGAUUAGUGUUUUCUUUUGCAGUAGUCAUGACUAAGCUAAGACAUUUUUGUUUGACAUAGAAAUCUAUGCAGUAUGUAGUUUAUGUAAACAUGAUCCAGACCUCUUCAUUUGAUUGUACAUUGUAUCAAUAUCCAUUUUCCGUUCUUUGCUACUCCUAUAUGUGAAGUAUUUAUUCAUUAUGUACAAAGAUGUUGAAGUCAAAUGUUGGUGCCACACUCAUCUAAAGAUGUUUGAAAGUGCAUACAAUUUUCCACCAAAUGCUGCAAAGAUGCAAAACGAUCUGUUUUCGCAGCAUUUGUGUACGUUGACCAGUAAACUUGGCAUAACCAUCGCCCCCCGCUCCCUACUUCAUCACACAUUGCUGUAAUGUGCUACUGAACAAAAUGCGCAUCACUGUACUUGUUUUUGGUGUUGGACUAAGCUUCAUUCCAGUAAACAACUUAAUAACACAA